GAUGAACGCUGGCGGCGUGCUUAACACAUGCAAGUCGAACGAUGAAGCUCAGCUUGCUGGGUGGAUUAGUGGCGAACGGGUGAGUAACACGUGAGUAACAUGCCCUUAACUCUGGGAUAAGCCUGGGAAACUAGGUCUAAUACCGGAUAGAAGCGCCUACCGCAUGGUGGGUGUUGGAGAGAUUUAUCGGUUUUGGAUGGACUCGCGGCUUAUCAGCUUGUUGGUGAGGUAAUGGCUCACCAAGGCGACGACGGGUAGCCGGCCUGAGAGGGUGACCGGCCACACUGGGACUGAGACACGGCCCAGACUCCUACGGGAGGCAGCAGUGGGGAAUAUUGCACAAUGGGCGGAAGCCUGAUGCAGCGACGCCGCGUGAGGGAUGACGGCCUUCGGGUUGUAAACCUCUUUCAGUAGGGAAGAAGCGAAAGUGACGGUACCUGCAGAAGAAGCACCGGCUAACUACGUG
rnacentral:rRNA from 1 species